UACGGAGGAUCCAAGCGUUAUCCGGAUUCAUUGGGUUUAAAGGGUGCGUAGGCGGAAUUGUAAGUCAGUGGUGAAAGCCUGCAGCUUAACUGCAGAAUUGCCAUUGAUACUGCAAAUCUUGAGUACAUUUGAUGUGGGCGGAAUGUGUCAUGUAGCGGUGAAAUGCUUAGAUAUGACACAGAACACCGAUUGCGAAGGCAGCUCACAAAAACUGUAA
rnacentral:rRNA from 1 species